ensembl:lncRNA
GUUGACUGGACAAAGGUGGGAACAAGUAGACACGUGUGUUUAAAAGUCCGGAUCCUGAGUCACCGAUCUCUCACUUCCUGUAAGAGCAGGAGCUGAUGUGUAGUGUGUGGGAAGCAGGAGCUCACCUAGCAGAACCAACUUCCUGGUUACAAAGUUACCAAAGGGCUUAUGGGCAAUGUAGUUUAGGAAGCUGUAGACUGUAGUCUGUUGUUAUGAGACCUACAGAAUGCAGAAAGGAGAAACGGGCAGACAACCUAUUUAUUAAAAACUUUUUUUCUUUUUUUUAAUUAAAAAGUAAAAAAGGAUGCCAGUAGGUCAUUUACUUUAGGUUUUUUUUUUUUUUUUUUUUUUUUUUUAAUAAAAGGUAAGAAAAUAAAAAAAAGAUAGCAGCCAUGCUGGUGUGAGUUCAUCUGUUCAUUUAUAGACAAUAAUUCAUACUGUUGUAACCCACAUGAGGAUGACGUGCACCGGCACAUGAACCAGAUUCUCAACACAGGCAGCAUCUGUGACAUCCACUCUCCUGUUGAACCAGUCUACAGUUCUGUAAUGCUCCUUCACAAAAGGAUUUAAAUGCAUAAACACAUAUAUAUAUACGACUCCAAACUGAGAUAAAAGUCUAAUACAAUUAGUAAUAUAACAUUCCCAAAUAUCCACAUAAAGCCAGUGAUAUUACAGUAUGUAUGAGGUAAGCUUGUUUUCUCACCUCGCGUAUGAGAUUUUAAAAUAACAAAAACUUAAUUCAGCAACGUUUCUAAAUGAAGUAACUAAACAAAAUGGACACAGUAUUUCCUUUACAGAGACAUGAAAUGCACUGGUCAACUAACGUCAUAAGGUAAAUAAUUCUUUUCCGUAUUGAGAUAUCGCACUAGAAAAAGUAGCUUUUCCCCUGAUUGAGAUACAAAUACAGCUCCUGCUUUAAAUCGCUCAACAGCACAUCUUCCAUACAAAAGUUUUACUCCGCCAUACAAAAAGUUCAUGCUGAUUUCUCUUUGCUUUAAAGAAAAACACAGCGGCGCUCCAUGAUAGGCUAGUGUACAGUGAGCCAGGCAGCCAGCUCUGAAGACCUAUGCCA